AGAGUUUGAUCCUGGCUCAGAAUCAACGCUGGCGGCGUGCCUAACACAUGCAAGUCGAGCGAGAAAGUGUAGCAAUACAUGAGCAAAGCGGCGCACGGGUGAGUAACACGUGGGUAAUCUGCCCUUGAGUGGGGAAUAACACCGGGAAACCGGUGCUAAUACCGCAUACGAUCACGGUGUCUGCGGACGUUGUGAUGAAAGGAGCAAUUCGCUCUUGGAGGAGCCCGCGGCUGAUUAGCUAGUUGGUAAGGUAAUGGCUUACCAAGGCUACGAUCAGUAUCCGGUCUGAGAGGACGGUCGGACACACUGGAACUGAGACACGGUCCAGACUCCUACGGGAGGCAGCAGUGGGGAAUUUUUCGCAAUGGGGGCAACCCUGACGAAGCAACGCCGCGUGGGUGAUGAAGUAUCUCGGUACGUAAAACCCUUUCGACGGGGAAGAAAACCGCAAGGUUUGACGGUACCCGUAGAAGAAGCCCCGGCUAACUCCGUGCCAGCAGCCGCGGUAAUACGGGGGGGGCAAGCGUUGUUCGGAAUUACUGGGCGUAAAGGGCGCGUAGGCGGUUUGCUAAGUUGAAUGUGAAAACUCUGGGCUUAACCCAGAGCCUGCAUUCAAUACUGGCAGGCUAGAGUUCUGGAGGGGAUAGCGGAAUUCCUGGUGUAGCGGUGAAAUGCGUAGAUAUCAGGAGGAACACCGGUGGCGAAGGCGGCUAUCUGGACAGAGUCUGACGCUGAGGCGCGAAAGCUAGGGGAGCAAACAGGAUUAGAUACCCUGGUAGUCCUAGCCCUAAACGAUGGAUACUUGCUGUGACUGGGAUUGGAUCCAGCCGUGGCGAAGCUAACGCAUUAAGUAUCCCGCCUGGGGAGUACGGUCGCAAGGCUGAAACUUAAAGGAAUUGACGGGGGCCCGCACAAGCGGUGGAGUAUGUGGUUUAAUUCGACUACGCGAAGAACCUUACCUGGGCUCGAACGGCUAGUGACAGGGGUGGAAACAUCCUUUUCCCGCAAGGGACACUAGUCGAGGUGCUGCAUGGCUGUCGUCAGCUCGUGUCGUGAGAUGUUGGGUUAAGUCCCGCAACGAGCGCAACCCCUGCCUUUAGUUGCCACCAGGUCAAGCUGAGCACUCUAAAGGGACUGCCGGUGAAAAACCGGAGGAAGGUGGGGAUGACGUCAAGUCCUCAUGGCCUUUAUGUCCAGGGCUACACACGUACUACAAUGGGCGGCACAAAGAGUCGCAAACCCGCGAGGGGGAGCCAAUCUCAAAAAACCGCUCUCAGUUCGGAUUGCAGUCUGCAACUCGACUGCAUGAAGCUGGAAUCGCUAGUAAUCGCUGAUCAGCAAGCAGCGGUGAAUACGUUCCCGGGCCUUGUACACACCGCCCGUCACAUCACGAAAGCCCGUUGUACUAGAAGCCGGUGAUUCAACCGCAAGGAGAUAGCCGUCCAAGGUAUGACUGGUGAUUGGGGUGAAGUCGUAACAAGGUA
rnacentral:rRNA from 1 species